CAUAAUAAAUUUUAUUCCAUUUACAUUCAAUAUAUUAUUUCUCUUUAAAAAAUCAUAUACACACUAAUAUAAAACACAUACACCGAUACAAAACUAAUAUCAAGAGAACAUGAAAUAACAACGAACAAGAUUGAACCCUCUAAUGCAUUCUUGAUCAUCUCAAACCAGCGGAGGUUGAAAUAGUGGUUAAUCCGUCUUUCCAGUGGGUUCAAAACAUGUCUUAAACAUGUCUUAACUACGAAGGCUUAAUUCGUCCAUGCCAAACCUAAAGAACAAAGUAAGAGGAAAACAUGUUUAUGACAAAGUAAUUCAUUCUAUUUUAUAUAUAAAUUAACCUUUUAUAUUUCAAACAGUACGAUUGUUGAUAAAAAAAGUACGAUUGUUAAUAAAAAACAGCACAUACGUUACAGAUCAUUCAAUUCUAUCUCAAGUAGAAUAGGUUGUCAAUUGAUUUCAUCUCAAAUAGAAUAGUUUGAACAUAUAGUUUUCCUAUUCCAUCUCAAAUAUAAAUAGGCGUAAGAGAUCUCACGCAUACAAGUUGUAUUACAGAUGCUAUUCCAUAUAACAAAUUAUAUUACUAUACUACUUACUAUGUAUUUUUCCUAAAAUUCAAAAUCAAGAACAAUCGGGGAAACCAAAACCCUGAAUCAAUUGGCAAACUUCGGCGCAAAAAUCAGAUCCGACAUGCAAUGGUAACGAGGUUGUAGAUUUACCAAUUAUAGUACCUUAAUUCCUAAAAUAUCCCAAAUAGAAAAGAAAAAUAACAACAUAUGAAGAAAUUCGAAGGUAAAUACCCGAGAACUUACUGUAGUUCCUGAGAUCUGAGAAGAAUCGACGAUGUGAAGUAGAAUAGGAACGGUCUCAUACUACUCGUCACUGACACUUUAACGCCGUUGUGUGACCGACGAUUUCAGACGAGAAGAAGAGGACGCGCUUGCAAAGAAUGAAGAAGAAGUCAACAAUUCAAUGUUAAUCCGGUGGAGGUGACGAUGUUGAGCGAAGCGGUGCCGGAGAACAUUUAAAGGUUAC
rnacentral:lncRNA from 1 species